UGAGUACGAGCUGCUACGGCAGCGAAGUGGGUGAUGUCAAGCUUCCAAGAAAAGCCCUAUACCCGUUAAGGCAUGACGGCCUGUACCCGAAACCGACACAGGUGGGGUGGUAGAGAAUACCGAGGGGCGCGAGGUAACUCUCUCUAAGGAACUCGGCAAAAUGGCCCCGUAACUUCGGGAGAAGGGGUGCCACCGCAAGGUGGUCGCAGUGAAGAGGCCCAGGCGACUGUUUACCAAAAACACAGGUCUCCGCUAAGUCGCAAGACGAUGUAUGGGGGCUGACGCCUGCCCAGUGCCGGAAGGUUAAGGAAGCUGGUCAGCGAAAGCGAAGCUAGCGACUGAAGCCCCGGUGAACGGCGGCCGUAACUAUAACGGUCCUAAGGUAGCGAAAUUCCUUGUCGGGUAAGUUCCGACCCGCACGAAAGGCGUAACGAUCUGGGCGCUGUCUCGGAGAGAGGCUCGGCGAAAUAGAAUUGUCUGUGAAGAUGCGGACUACGUGCACCCGGACAGAAAGACCCUAUGAAGCUUUACUGUAGCUUGGUAUUGUGCCCGGGCUCUGAAUGCGCAGGAUAGGUGGGAGACAUUGAUGCAUGGCUUGCGGGUCAUGCGGAGUCAACGGUGAGAUACCACUCUUUCAGAGCUAGGGUUCUAACAGCCACCCGUUAUCCGGGGGCUGGACAGUAUCAGGUGGGCAGUUUGACUGGGGCGGUCGCCUCCUAAAAGGUAACGGAGGCGCGCAAAGGUUUGCUCAGGCUGGUUGGAAAUCAGCCGACGAGUGUAAAAGCAGAAGCAAGCUUGACUGUGAGACCUACAAGUCGAACAGGGACGAAAGUCGGCUUUAGUGAUCCGACGGUUCUGAGUGGAAGGGCCGUCGCUCAACGGAUAAAAGUUACUCUAGGGAUAACAGGCUGAUCUCCCCCAAGAGUUCACAUCGACGGGGAGGUUUGGCACCUCGAUGUCGGCUCAUCGCAACCUGGGGCUGAAGUCGGUCCCAAGGGUUGGGCUGUUCGCCCAUUAAAGCGGUACGCGAGCUGGGUUCAGAACGUCGUGAGACUGUUCGGUCCAUAUCCGGUGCAUGCGUAAGAACAUUGAGAGGAGUUCUCCCUAGUACGAGAGGACCGGGAGGAACGCACCUCUGGUGUACCAGUUAUCGUGCCAACGGUAAACGCUGGGUAGCCAUGUGCGGAGAGGAUAACCGCUGAAAGCAUCUAAGUGGGAAGCCCACCUCAAGAUGAGUGUUCUCAUGGCUUAAGCCAGUAAGGUCACGGGAAGAACACCCGUUGAUAGGCUCUACGUGGAAGCUUGGUAACAGGUGAAGCGGAGGAGUACUAAUAGACCGAGGGCUUGAUA
rnacentral:rRNA from 1 species